rnacentral:rRNA from 1 species
GGUGAGUAAUGUCUGGGAAACUGCCUGAUGGAGGGGGAUAACUACUGGAAACGGUAGCUAAUACCGCAUAACGUCGCAAGACCAAAGAGGGGGACCUUCGGGCCUCUUGCCAUCAGAUGUGCCCAGAUGGGAUUAGCUAGUAGGUGGGGUAACGGCUCACCUAGGCGACGAUCCCUAGCUGGUCUGAGAGGAUGACCAGCCACACUGGAACUGAGACACGGUCCAGACUCCUACGGGAGGCAGCAGUGGGGAAUAUUGCACAAUGGGCGCAAGCCUGAUGCAGCCAUGCCGCGUGUAUGAAGAAGGCCUUCGGGUUGUAAAGUACUUUCAGCGAGGAGGAAGGCAUUGUGGUUAAUAACCGCAGUGAUUGACGUAACUCGCAGAAGAAGCACCGGCUA